rnacentral:rRNA from 1 species
AGAGAUUGAACAUAAGAGUUUGAUCCUGGCUCAGAUUGAACGCUGGCGGCAUGCUUUACACAUGCAAGUCGGACGGCAGCACAGGGAAGCUUGCUUCUCGGGUGGCGAGUGGCGAACGGGUGAGUAACAUAUCGGAACGUACCGGGUAGCGGGGGAUAACUGAUCGAAAGAUCAGCUAAUACCGCAUACGUCUUGAGAGGGAAAGCAGGGGACCUUCGGGCCUUGCGCUAUCCGAGCGGCCGAUAUCUGAUUAGCUGGUUGGCGGGGUAAAGGCCCACCAAGGCGACGAUCAGUAGCGGGUCUGAGAGGAUGAUCCGCCACACUGGGACUGAGACACGGCCCAGACUCCUACGGGAGGCAGCAGUGGGGAAUUUUGGACAAUGGGCGCAAGCCUGAUCCAGCCAUGCCGCGUGUCUGAAGAAGGCCUUCGGGUUGUAAAGGACUUUUGUCAGGGAAGAAAAGGCCGUUGCCAAUAUCGGCGGCCGAUGACGGUACCUGAAGAAUAAGCACCGGCUAACUACGUGCCAGCAGCCGCGGUAAUACGUAGGGUGCGAGCGUUAAUCGGAAUUACUGGGCGUAAAGCGGGCGCAGACGGUUACUUAAGCAGGAUGUGAAAUCCCCGGGCUCAACCCGGGAACUGCGUUCUGAACUGGGUGACUCGAGUGUGUCAGAGGGAGGUGGAAUUCCACGUGUAGCAGUGAAAUGCGUAGAGAUGUGGAGGAAUACCGAUGGCGAAGGCAGCCUCCUGGGAUAACACUGACGUUCAUGUCCGAAAGCGUGGGUAGCAAACAGGAUUAGAUACCCUGGUAGUCCACGCCCUAAACGAUGUCAAUUAGCUGUUGGGCAACUUGAUUGCUUGGUAGCGUAGCUAACGCGUGAAAUUGACCGCCUGGGGAGUACGGUCGCAAGAUUAAAACUCAAAGGAAUUGACGGGGACCCGCACAAGCGGUGGAUGAUGUGGAUUAAUUCGAUGCAACGCGAAGAACCUUACCUGGUUUUGACAUGUGCGGAAUCCUCCGGAGACGGAGGAGUGCCUUCGGGAGCCGUAACACAGGUGCUGCAUGGCUGUCGUCAGCUCGUGUCGUGAGAUGUUGGGUUAAGUCCCGCAACGAGCGCAACCCUUGUCAUUAGUUGCCAUCAUUCGGUUGGGCACUCUAAUGAGACUGCCGGCGACAAGCCGGAGGAAGGUGGGGAUGACGUCAAGUCCUCAUGGCCCUUAUGACCAGGGCUUCACACGUCAUACAAUGGUCGGUACAGAGGGUAGCCAAGCCGCGAGGCGGAGCCAAUCUCACAAAACCGAUCGUAGUCCGGAUUGCACUCUGCAACUCGAGUGCAUGAAGUCGGAAUCGCUAGUAAUCGCAGGUCAGCAUACUGCGGUGAAUACGUUCCCGGGUCUUGUACACACCGCCCGUCACACCAUGGGAGUGGGGGAUACCAGAAGUAGGUAGGGUAACCGCAAGGAGUCCGCUUACCACGGUAUGCUUCAUGACUGGGGUGAAGUCGUAACAAGGUAGCCGUAGGGGAACCUGCGGCUGGAUCACCUCCUUUCUAGAG